AGUGGAUCUUUGUUGUUGAAAAACAAGAAUCGAUUGUCCUAUGACUAGGGUAGGCUCAUGCCCAUGGCUCCAUUUAUGUCGCAAUCUUUAAUCGGGUCUCGGGGAUUCGCCAGACAUCUUACUUGACCGUCAAUGUGCGGGCUGGCUAUAAGUUGUCCCAAGUGCUUUGCGGCAUGGUAUGGUGCAAUCCCAGGAUUAAAGGUAUUGGUUCCAUACUCUUUAGAAGAUGCCCGUGGACUACUUAAAGCCGCUAUAAGAGAUCCAGCUCCUGUCGUC